rnacentral:lncRNA from 1 species
GGUGUACUCAGGAGCCAGGAUGAAAACCAGCAGCAUGGACCCAAGAAGUGUGGCCAGAGGGGGGGAGAUGAUUACAGAAUUUCCGUUCUGCCAGGAUAUAAGGAAGAUCCAGUCUUUGAAGCCAGCAGGAAGAAACUUGAAGCCACAUGUCUACAGCAGUGUCCUGGCAGUCAGGAAUAAAUGGACACACUUUCCAAGGUCAUGAGAAAGAAAUGCAAUUAGUAUGUAAAACAGCGGCUCUCCUGGAAAUGACUGCUCGGGGGCUGAGCUCAGAUGAGAAGAUUUACAACAGAGAAAAGCUGUGUGAAGCCACUGGAUGUGGAUAUGCAGGAGACACCAACGUGGCAAAAAUCACUAAGGGCCCUAGAGGGCGACUGAGAAUUAGAAACAGGAUUUGAGCUACAGGUGAUGUUCUGUCUUUGAAGGUGGAGUCUUUAAGCUUCGCGUCUCGUACACGCUUUCUGCUUUCCCAAAUGCUACCCAAUAUAUGUUUUCAAUUGAACUUUGAAACUAACAUUCUAUGUUUUUGGAGAAAACGUAGAAGUCAUUAUGAAACUAAUAAUAGCAUCGAAGGUGCUGUUCAUUCAGACAGUGUCCCAGAGUUGGGGACAUUAAAA